rnacentral:rRNA from 1 species
UAGGGAAUCUUCCGCAAUGGACGAAAGUCUGACGGAGCAACGCCGCGUGAGUGAAGAAGGCUUUCGGUUCGUAAAACUCUGUUGUUAGGGAAGAAAAAAUGUAUAGUAACUAUAUACAAAAGAGACGGUACCUAACCAGAAAGCCACGGCUAACUACGUGCCAGCAGCCGCGGUAAUACGUAGGUGGCAAGCGUUGUCCGGAAUUAUUGGGCGUAAAGCGCGCGCAGGUGGUUUAGAAAGUCUGAUGUGAAAGCCCACGGCUCAACCGUGGAGGGUCAUUGGAAACUAAUAAACUUGAGUGCAGGAGAGAAAAGUGGAAUUCCUAGUGUAGCGAUGAAAUGCGUAGAGAUUAGGAGGAACACCGGUGGCGAAAGCGGCUUUUUGGCCUGCAACUGACACUGAGGCGCGAAAGCGUGGGGAGCAAACAGG